GGGCCCGCACAAGCGGUGGAGCAUGUGGUUUAAUUCGAUGCAACGCGAAGAACCUUACCAGGGCUUGACAUACUACGAAUUUUCUUGAAAGAGAAAAGUGCCUUCGGGAAUGUAGAUACAGGUGGUGCAUGGCUGUCGUCAGCUCGUGUCGUGAGAUGUUGGGUUAAGUCCCGCAACGAGCGCAACCCUUAUUUUUAGUUACCAAUUCGUUGGGUUCUCUAGAAAGACUGCCGGUGACAAACCGGAGGAAGGUGAGGAUGACGUCAAGUCAGCAUGCCCCUUAUGUCCUGGGCUACACACGUGCUACAAUGGUUAAGACAAAGAGUUGCGAGCUUGUAAAAGUCAGCUAAUCUCGUAAACUUAGCCUAAGUUCAGAUUGUAGGCUGCAACUCGCCUGCAUG
rnacentral:rRNA from 1 species